AACGAACGCUGGCGGCAUGCCUAACACAUGCUAGUCGAACGAGACCUUCGGGUCUAGUGGCGCACGGGUGCGUAACGCGUGGGAACCUGCCCUUAGGUUCGGAAUAACUCCCCGAAAGGGGUGCUAAUACCGGAUAAUGUCUUCGGACCAAAGAUUUAUCGCCUUUGGAGGGGCCCGCGUUGGAUUAGCUAGUUGGUAGGGUAAAAGCCUACCAAGGCGACGAUCCAUAGCUGGUCUGAGAGGAUGGUUAGCCACACUUGGACUGAGACACGGCCCGGACUCUUACGGGAGGCAGCAGUGGGGAAUAUUGGACAAUGGGCGGAAGGAUGAUCGAGCAAUGCCGCGUGAGUGAUGAAGUCCUUAGGGUUGUAAAGUUCUUGUACCCGGGAUGAUCAUGACAGUACCGGGAGAAUAAGCCCCGGCUAACUCCGUG
rnacentral:rRNA from 1 species